rnacentral:tRNA from 1 species
UCCCCGGUGGCACAAUUGGCUAGCGCGUCAGACUGUUAAUCUGGAGGUUCGUGGUUCGAGCCCACGCCGGGGAGA